GCCCGACUGGCUCAGCUGGUAGAGCAUGGGACUCUUGAUCUCAGGGUCAUGAGUUCAAGUCCAAUGUUGAGCA
rnacentral:tRNA from 1 species